GGAUAUAGCUAAGUGGUAGAGCACUUGCUUAACAUGCAUGAGGCCCUGGAUUCAAUUUCCAGUGCCACCA
rnacentral:tRNA from 1 species